rnacentral:tmRNA from 1 species
GGGGAUGAUCGGUUUCGACAAGGCUUCUUGAUACGAAAAGAAGCGGGCCGUGAAUGUAGCGUCAACACGUAAAUGUUCGCUGCAAAAUAUAGGUGCUAAAUCUAAAAGCACUGACUUCGGCCUAGCUGCUUAAUAGCGCUAACCCGAAGUCCGUUAGUCCAACAUUAGAUUUCGUGUUGGGUACUAGCGUCAUCUAGAAAUCUUGCUGAGUGGUUAUGCCUUAGGGCUACUUGGGACUUUUACUCAGGCUGGGCUGGUCGGUUUAGUCGCUUCAUGCAAAAACCGCGGCCGAGAAAAUCGUUAGUGAAGCUACGCCCGUAGAAGAGUUCGGUUCGAUGUCAUGGACGGGGGUUCGAUUCCCCCCAUCUCCACCA